rnacentral:tRNA from 1 species
AAGGAUUUAGUUAAAUCAUAACAUUAGCUUGUCAAGCUAAAAUCAUUAAAUAUUAAUAAUUCUUA